UAACGAAGCCGGACUCAUCCGAGGCCCGGUUAUCGGAAUGAGUACACUUUAAAUCCUUUAACGAGGAACAAUUGGAGGGCAAGUCUGGUGCCAGCAGCCGCGGUAAUUCCAGCUCCAAUAGCGUAUAUUAAAGUUGUUGCGGUCAAAAAGCUCGUAGUUGGAUUUCGGUGAGUAAGGAGGGGUUCAUCUUGUUUGAUGUAACUGCUGUCUUGUCUCGCGUUUUUCGACAGAGGUUUCGAUGGUGCCUUUCAAAGGGUGUCUCGGGAUACUGUCGGGUUUACUUUGAAAAAAUUAGAGUGCUCAAAGCAGGCUUUUAAAAGCUUGAAUAUUAGUGCAUGGAAUAAUGAAAUAGGAAGUCGUUUCUAUUUUGUUGGUUUUCGGAAAUCGACUUAAUGAUUAAUAGGGACAGUCGGGGGCAUUAGUAUUCAGACGACAGAGGUGAAAUUCUUGGACCGUCUGAAGACUAACUACUGCGAAAGCAUUUGCCAAGAAUGUUUUCAUUAAUCAAGAACGAAAGUUAGAGGUUCGAAGGCGAUCAGAUACCGCCCUAGUUCUAACCAUAAACGAUGCCAGCUAGCGAUCCGCAGUUGUUUAUUUUUACGACUCUGCGGGAAGCUUCCGGGAAACCAAAGCUUUUGGGUUCCGGGGGAAGUAUGGUUGCAAAGCUGAAACUUAAAGGAAUUGACGGAAGGGCACCACCAGGAGUGGAGCCUGCGGCUUAAUUUGACUCAACACGGGAAAUCUCACCAGGCCCGGACACUGGAAGGA
rnacentral:rRNA from 1 species